GGUAAUGGCUCACCUAGGCGACGAUCCCUAGCUGGUCUGAGAGGAUGACCAGCCACACUGGAACUGAGACACGGUCCAGACUCCUACGGGAGGCAGCAGUGGGGAAUAUUGCACAAUGGGCGCAAGCCUGAUGCAGCCAUGCCGCGUGUAUGAAGAAGGCCUUCGGGUUGUAAAGUACUUUCAGCGAGGAGGAAGGCGUUAAGGUUAAUAACCUUGGCGAUUGACGUUACUCGCAGAAGAAGCACCGGCUAACUCCGUGCCAGCAGCCGCGGUAAUACGGAGGGUGCAAGCGUUAAUCGGAAUUACUGGGCGUAAAGCGCACGCAGGCGG
rnacentral:rRNA from 1 species